UUAAGUUCAGCGGGUAUCCCUACCCGAUCCGAGGUCAACCGUGUGAAAAUGGUUUAACGGCGCGUCCGGUCCUUCUCUGAGCGAUUCUGUUGCCACAACGCUGAGAUACGGUCCGUCCAGCCGAGGACAUGAGGGCGCGGGUGGUGACCCGUCGCCCAAGACAAGCCAGGCUUGAUUGGUGUUAAUGACGCUCGAACGGG
rnacentral:misc_RNA from 1 species